GCGUCCGUAGCUUGGAGGAAAUAAGCGCCCGUCUUGUGAAUGUGGAGUCGUGGGUUCGAUUCCUACCGGAGCA
rnacentral:tRNA from 1 species